CUGAUCACUAUAGGAGGCUGGAGUCACAAGACUAGCUUCUACUGAUGAGGCAAGCGCCGCCUAUGAGAAAAGGUGUGAAGAACUAAAUAGCAAAAAACUGGAAGAAGAGGAGCUCAACAAGGAACUUGACCUCCUAAAGGAAUCAUUUACCAUACUAUAAACUGAGGAAGAGCGAAGAUUGUAUGAUUGGAGCAUGUCCAGAAGUGGGCAACCUGAGCGAAGAUC